GAUGAACGCUGGCGGCGUGCCUAAUACAUGCAAGUCGAGCGAACAGACGAGGAUCUUGUUCCUCUGACGUUAGCGGCGGACGGGUGAGUAACACUUGGAUAACCUACCUAUAAGACUGGGAUAACUUCGGGAAACCGGACCUAAUACCGGAUAAUAUAUUGAACCGCAUGGUUCAAUAGUGAAUGACGGUUUUGCUGUCACUUCUAGAUGGAUCCGCGCCGCAUUAGCUAGUUGGUAAGGUAACGGCUUACCAAGGCAACGGUGCGUAGCCGACCUGAGAGGGUGCUCUGCCACACUGGAGCUGAGGCACGGUCCAGACUCCUACGGGAGGCAGCAGUAGGGAAUCUUCCGCAAUGGGCGAAAGCCUGACGGAGCAACGGCGCGUGAGUGAUGAAGGUCUUCGGAUCGUAAAACUCUGUUAUUCGGGAAGAACACAUGUGUACGUAACUAUGCACGUCUUGACGGUACCUAAUCAGAAAGCCACGGCUAACUACGU
rnacentral:rRNA from 1 species